UGGAGCAUGUGGUUUAAUUCGAAGCAACGCGAAGAACCUUACCAGGUCUUGACAUCUUUGAAUGGUCUAGAGAUAGAUCAGGCCUUCGGGACAGAAGAGACAGGUGGUGCAUGGUUGUCGUCAGCUCGUGUCGUGAGAUGUUGGGUUAAGUCCCGCAACGAGCGCAACCCUUAUCAUUAGUUGCUAACAUUCAGUUGAGAACUCUAAUGAGACUGCCAGUGAUAAACUGGAGGAAGGUGGGGAUGACGUCAAAUCAUCAUGCCCCUUACGACCUGGGCUACACACGUGCUACAAUGGCCGGUACAAAGAGUUGCGAAACUGUGAAGUUAAGCUAAUCUCAUAAAGCCGGUCUCAGUUCGGAUUGUAGUCUGCAACUCGACUACAUGAAGUCGGAAUCGCUAGUAAUCGCGAAUCAGAAUGUCGCGGUGAAUACGUUCUCGAGUCUU
rnacentral:rRNA from 1 species